UACGUAGGGUGCAAGCGUUAAUCGGAAUUACUGGGCGUAAAGCGUGCGCAGGCGGUCUUGCAAGACAGAUGUGAAAUCCCCGGGCUUAACCUGGGAACUGCAUUUGUGACUGCAAGGCUGGAGUACGGUAGAGGGGGAUGGAAUUCCGCGUGUAGCAGUGAAAUGCGUAGAUAUGCGGAGGAACACCGAUGGCGAAGGCAAUCCCCUGGACCUGUACUGACGCUCAUGCACGAAAGCUAGGGGAGCGAAUGGG
rnacentral:rRNA from 1 species